CUCUAUCGGAGGGAGAUCGGCUCGGGGUCUGUUUGGUAUUGGUGCGUGGUGUGCGUGGAGGGCGCGUGCAGGCUUGAGUGUGUGAACUGACGAGUGAAUGUGUGCGUGCGUGGGGCGUGCAAGGCGAGUGCAUGUGCGCACCCCUGUGCCCUUCCCUCGCCUACACCUUGAUCUUAUUUGAUCGGGUUGUGAUCCCAACCCCGCCGGGCCGACCCGAAAUGAAAAGCUCCCCUUCUGCGAAGCCUCCUCUUCGGGGCGCUGUGCAGCAAGGCCCCUUGGGCGGCGGCAACGCCGCGGUCCCGGAGGUCCCGAAACCGGUCCGAUGGGGCCCGGCGCUCAGAAGUGAUGAAUUGAUCAGAUAGACGAGGCCGGGGUUGUCCUGAGCCACUGAUUAUCGAGGCGAUUCUGAUCUGA